UGCCAGCAGCCGCGGUAAUACGAAGGGUGCUAGCGUUGUUCGGAAUUACUGGGCGUAAAGAGCAUGUAGGCGGAUUAUUAAGUGAGGGGUGAAAUCCCGAGGCUCAACCUCGGAACUGCCUUUGAUACUGGAAGUCUUGAGUUCGAGAGAGGUUAGUGGAAUUCCCAGUGUAGAGGUGAAAUUCGUAGAUAUUGGGAAGAACACCAGUGGCGAAGGCGGCUAACUGGCUCGGUACUGACGCUGAGAUGCGAAAGCGUGGGGAGCAAACAGGAUUAGAUA
rnacentral:rRNA from 1 species